GACGAACGCUGGCGGCGUGCUUAACACAUGCAAGUCGAACGGCAAGGCCCUGCUUUUGUGGGGUGCUCGAGUGGCGAACGGGUGAGUAACACGUGAGUAACCUGCCCUUGACUUUGGUAUAACUUCAGGAAACUGGGGCUAAUACCGGAUAGGAGCUCCUGCUGCAUUGUGGGGGUUGGAACGUUUCGGCGGUUGGGGAUGGACUCGCGGCUUAUGAGCUUGUUGGUGGGGUAGUGGCUUACCAAGGCUUUGACGGGUAGCCGGCCUGUGAGGGUGACCGGCCACAUGGGGACUGAGAGACGGACCAGACUCCUACGGGAGGCAGCAGUGGGGAAUAUUGCACAAUGGGCGGAAGCCUGAUGCAGCAACGCCGCGUGCGGGAUGACGGCCUUCGGGUUGUAAACCGCUUUCGCCUGUGACGAAGCGUGAGUGACGGUAAUGGGUAAAGAAGCACCGGCUAACUACGUG
rnacentral:rRNA from 1 species